UACAGAGGGUGCAAGCGUUGUUCGGAAUUACUGGGCGUAAAGCGCGUGUAGGCGGCUUUGCAAGUCGGAUGUGAAAGCCCACGGCUCAACCGUGGAAGUGCAUCCGAAACUGCAUGGCUCGAGUCUCGGAGAGGAAGGUGGAAUGCUUGGUGUAGAGGUGAAAUUCGUAGAUAUCAAGCAGAACACCUGCGGCGAAGGCGGGCUUCUGGACGAUGACUGACGCUGAGACGCGAAAGCGUGGGGAGCAAACAGG
rnacentral:rRNA from 1 species